rnacentral:rRNA from 1 species
AUGGCAGGUUCUCACAAUGACUUCAACGUGCUUCAGCGCUCUUUGGUGUUUGCUAGGCUUUCUGAAGGCCAAUCCCCAGAUGUCAACUUUGAGGUCAAUGGCCAACAAUAUAACAAGGGAUACUACCUAGCUGAUGGUAUCUAUCCUCAGUGGGCAACUAUUGUGAAGACAACCUUGGAGCCCGUAGGUGAGAAGAGGGCUAGGUUUGCCCAAGAACAAGAGAGUGUUGGGAAGGAUGUGAAGUGUGCUUUUGGUGUGCUCCAAUCUCGAUGGGCUAUUGUUCGGCACCCUGCUAGAACAUGGAUCACUCAGAAGAUGUGGGAGGUGAUGACAUGUUGUGACACGGAGCAUACUACGGUCAUGCCCAUGGAUGUACCUUCGUCUCCCAAGACACUAGGUGGACCCAUGACUAGAGCUCGUGCAAGGGCUAUCGAAACCGAGGUGAACUCGCUCCUCUCCCAACUAGCACAUUCCACAUGUGAGACAUGGCUACUACCUCAAGCGGAGACCUUGUGUGUGAUCAGGUACUCGGAGGAAGGCCAUGAAUCUGCUAUGACCAAUGGACAAGAUGGCAAGGACAUCAAGCGUAAGAAGCAAGAGGAAGAGCUGCAGAAGAACUACAGCCACCGGACGACCGGCCCUUACCGGACGUCCGGCGCCCUGAAAAUCAGCCAGUGCCACCUAUCCAGAACCAAAAUGCCAGAAGACCGAAGUCUUCCAGACACCCGAGACACCGGAUGUCCGACAUUCACCGGAAAUCCGGCGACACCUGUCCAGAACCAAAUCACCGGAUGUUUGGUGCCCUCCGAACGACCGGAUGCUCACGAGCCACCGGACGACCGGUAA